rnacentral:rRNA from 1 species
UCGAGAAUCUUCGGCAAUGAGCGCAAGCUUGACCGAGCGACGCCGCGUGCGGGAUGAAGGCCUUCGGGUUGUAAACCGCUGUCAGUGGGGAGGAAAUGCCAUAGGGUUCUCUCUAUGGUUUGACCUAUCUUCAGAGGAAGGGCGGGCUAAGUUCGUGCCAGCAGCCGCGGUAAGACGAACCGCCCAAACGUUAUUCGGAAUCACUGGGCUUAAAGGGUGCGUAGGCGGCGUCGUCAGUCGGGUGUGAAAUCCCACAGCUCAACUGUGGAACUGCGCCCGAUACUGCGGUGCUUGAGGGAGACAGAGGCAAGCGGAACUGAUGGUGGAGCGGUGAAAUGCGUUGAUAUCAUCAGGAACACCGGUGGCGAAAGCGGCUUGCUGGGUCUCUUCUGACGCUGAGGCACGAAAGCUAGGGUAGCGAACGGGAUUAGAUACCCCUGUAGUCC